rnacentral:rRNA from 1 species
UACGUAGGGGGCAAGCGUUGUCCGGAUUUAUUGGGCGUAAAGAGCGUGUAGGCGGCCUUACAGGUCAGCUGUGAAAACUCGAGGCUCAACCUCGAGACGUCGGUUGAAACCGUAUGGCUAGAGUCCGGAAGAGGAGAGUGGAAUUCCUGGUGUAGCGGUGAAAUGCGCAGAUAUCAGGAAGAACACCCGUGGCGAAGGCGGCUCUCUGGGCCGAUAUUGACGCUGAGGAGCGAAAGCGUGGGGAGCGAACAGG